AGCAGCAGACUGGGUGUAAAGUGUGCGCAGGCGGUUCGGAAAGAAAGAUGUGAAAUCCCAGAGCUUAACUUUGGAACUGCAUUUUUUAACUACCGAGCUAGAGUGUGUCAGAGGGAGGUGGAAUUCCGCGUGUAGCAGUGAAAUGCGUAGAUAUGCGGAGGAACACCGAUGGCGAAGGCAGCCUCCUGGGAUAACACUGACGCUCAUGCACGAAAGCGUGGGGAGCAAACAGGAUUAGAUACCCUGGUAGUCCACGCCCUAAACGAUGUCAACUAGCUGUUGGGGCCUUCGGGCCUUAGUAGCGCAGCUAACGCGUGAAGUUGACCGCCUGGGGAGUACGGUCGCAAGAUUAAAACUGAAAAAAUUGACG
rnacentral:rRNA from 1 species